rnacentral:snRNA from 1 species
GUGAAAUGACUUGAGAGG